ensembl:lncRNA
GUGCACAAAUCCACAACUAGUUGGACUCCGCCCACCGUCUAUGCAUUUGUGGAUUUUGAAACAUUUCUAACGUCAAGAGUGCGCACAAAUCCACAAAUAGUUGGACUCCGCCCACUGUCUACUCAAGCCAAUCGGAUAACCGUCACACUUUGAAACAUUUUGACACAUUUUGAAACAUUUCUAACGUCAAGAGUGCGUACAAAUCCACAAAUAGUUGGACUCCGCCCACCGUUUAUGCAUUUGGGGAUUUUGAAACAUUUCUAACGACAAGAGUGCGCACAAAUCCACAAAUAGUUGGACUCCGCCCACUGUCUACUCAAGCCAAUCAGAUAACCGUCACACUGCAGUGACCAACUGUAGCACGGUCUUUCUCCGACCAAUCACGUUUUGUUUUACAAUCAGGACGGGAACAUACUUGGAAAUGUUUUUAUUUAAUUUCUAACCUUGUUUUGGCUGUGUGCAAAUAUCAAAGUUAUAUGAGGAGGCAGUUUAACAACCGCAGGGGUAAAAAUUGUCAGUCUGCCUAAAGAUGUCUGAAAGCUUGUUAGCUAAGUUUGCUUUUGUCAUAUACUGACUUUGAUAAAGUUGUUGGAUUGAUGCAUGUUAUAGAGACAUACAUAAGUCUAAUCCAUUUACUUUAGAAACAGAUACUGGCCAGCAGAAUGUCCGCAAUGCUCCUGCGCUGUUACUUAACCACCACAUCACAUAGCCAGCAUGAACUACAGUAGCUCUUCUGUGGGAUCGGACCAGACGGGCUAGCUUUCACUACCCACAUGCAUCAACGAGCCUUGGCUGCCCGUGACCCUGUCGCCGGUUCACCGGUUCUCCUUCCUUGGACCACUUUUGGAAGCAGGUGAGGACAUUUUGCCCCAGGAGCCAUGCAAGACUACAACUAGACCAGAUGGGGGCAGUGGUACAUCUCAACUCCACUGAUCGUUCACCCAAAACCAUCCAAACACUCCAAGAUAACACACACUGCCCUACUGCUGUCAACAUUUCCUUUUCUUCCCCUUUCAAACAGUGUCUUUAAGAGCAACACUUGCUCCUGUCUUGGCUCAAAAGAUCAGUUAAGCUCACACUACUGCAGUGAUAUUAUAUUGAGUGAGUGCAUAUAGUGUACAUAGAAUGUGUUUACAAGCAAAAAGAAUAAUUGCAAGAGCAGGAAUAAAAAAUAAAAAAACCCUGUCGGGGUUCAGGAACUGUCAGGAUCAGAAUUCAUAGAUAACACUGACAGAGAAAAACUAAAGCAAAAGCAAACAAUUAAAAAACCCUUUACAGUUUAGAACAACUGUGUAUUAGAG